rnacentral:lncRNA from 1 species
AGAAUUAACGUCGUUGGGGCAGGUCCUGGGUAGAUUCCAGGUUGGCGGGUCCUGGGGCGGGGCCAGGAUAGGGCGAUCCUGGAAGCUGGGCUUCGGAAGCGUCCAGCGCCACCCGUCUGGGGCCCAAAAGGAGGGAGCUUUACCUCUGUCCCCCAGCCUUUGGAGUGUCACCAAACAAGCCAUUCGUUCACCAAAUACUUAUUAAGUGCCUGACAACGGAGAUGUAACGGUCUUACAGUCAUGGCUGGCUCCUCUCUCUGAGAACUGGGACUCCUGAACUUGGUGAAAUACCUCAGCCAUCGAUCAUGUUAAAUUAUCGGGGACACUCAUUAAAAAUGUGAGUCUGCUCCAGAUGGACUCUCUCUCUUUCUGCCCUGACCGUGAGGGAGACCGUGAGAGAGAGAGACCGUGAGAGAGAGAAACCGUGAGAGAGACCAUCAGAGAGAGAAAGAGAGACCGUGCCCUGACCUGCUGGACAGUGGAGAUGCUUGUGGGCUGUGAGCAACAGAUGCAAGGGCUGCCGGGAAUCCCAUCUUUCCAGCAUCAUCUGCCAAGGCACAUCAGUUCCUGGGUGUCUUGAUGGGUUCUGGCAGCAUUACUGUCAUUGAAGGAAAACAUUUUAGCCAUAUUAAAGGUGAACUCAGCAAUCCCCACACAGCCUGCCUGGAAGGGACGCGGGACAAGGGUAGGUUCUCCCUGUGAUGGACAGGAGGCAGGCGACCCUCCCACAGCCCUACCUGGCAAUGCAGAUGUGUCCCCAAAAGGCACUGGGGGCAGCUGGAGUGCUGUGCCUAGGCGGGCUCACCCGGGCAGCGGUUCGCUCUGAUUGCAGUGGUUUCCCACCAGCUCCUUGGAGAGCUGGCAGAUGACCCAGCCCCACAGCAGGAGCCGGGAAUGGCAGAACGAGAUACAACAAUUUGAUAUCCACUUGCCAGAUGAGCCGGGUGUCCUCAGUCGCCUGGCUCUGUGCCCAACCUCUUUUUACAUAAACACUUAUGAAUUGAGCCAGGAGGAAAAGCACUCUGAUUAUGAAUUGAGCAGAAGGAAACAAAGUUCUGCAGAUAAACACCAAUGAAACAAAAAACCACGAAUAAGAAAAAUGACAGAAAAGGAGAACCUUCCCAGAAGCCUCCUGCCAGUGAACGGUCACCAGAGCAAGAGCAUGGAGGCCCUGGGUUUUGAACUGUGAGAUAAGGAAGAUGAUGAAAACCUCCCUAGCAGCCAGGCAAGCACAAGAUUCCUGUGAAAUCCAGGUCUAAGUGUUUUGACAACAGAAGUAAUAUUAUGUCAUAGGUGAGAGCUGUGAGUUGCUGAACCCAAAGUGAGUUCAAAUCCGAGCUCUGCCUCCUGCUACCUGUGUGACUUUGAGAAGUUCCAGCACUGCUUUGUGCCUCAGUUUUGUCAUCUGUUAAAUGGGCGUAAUCACAGCUCCUGCCUCAGAGUUGUUGUAAAUUAAUACAUGUAAAGCACUGAAAUCAAAAAAAAAAAAAAAAAA